AUUGAACGCUGGCGGCAGGCCUAACACAUGCAAGUCGAGCGAGCUGCGGACGGGUGAGUAAUGUCUGGGAAACUGCCUGCUGGCGGGGGAUAACUACUGGAACCGGUAGCUAAUACCGCAUACCAUCAGAUGUGCCCAGAUGGGAUUAGCUCGUAGGUGGGGUAACGGCUCACCUAGGCGACCAUCCCUAGCUGGUCUGAGAGGAUAACCAGCAACACUGGAACGGAGACACGGUCCAGACUCCUACGGGAGGCAGCAGUGGGGAAGAUUGCACAAUGGGCGCAAGCCUGAUGCAGCCAUGCCGCGUGUGGGAAGAAGGCCUUCGGGUUGUAAAGCACUUUCAGCGGGGAGGCGUUACCCGAAGAAGAAGCACCGGCUAACUCCGUGCCAGCAGCCGCGGUAAUUC
rnacentral:rRNA from 1 species